rnacentral:rRNA from 1 species
UACGUAGGUGGCAAGCGUUGUUCGGAAUUAUUGGGCGUAAAGGGCGCGUAGGCGGUUUGUUAAGUCGGUUGUGAAAGCCCGGGGCUCAACCCCGGAGAGUCGACCGAUACUGGCAAACUAGAGUACGGAAGAGGUAGCUGGAAUUCCCGGUGUAGCGGUGAAAUGCGUAGAUAUCGGGAGAACACCUGAGGCGAAGGCGGGGCUACUGGGCUGAUACUGACGCUGAGGCGCGAAAAGCUAGGGGAGCAAACAGG